rnacentral:rRNA from 1 species
AUUGAACGCUGGCGGCAUGCCUUACACAUGCAAGUCGAACGGCAGCACGGGUGCUUGCACCUGGUGGCGAGUGGCGAACGGGUGAGUAAUACAUCGGAACGUACCUUAUCGUGGGGGAUAACGCAGCGAAAGCUGUGCUAAUACCGCAUACGCCCUGAGGGGGAAAGCGGGGGAUCGAAAGACCUCGCGCGAUUAGAGCGGCCGAUGCCUGAUUAGCUUGUUGGUGGGGUAAAAGCCCACCAAGGCGACGAUCAGUAGCUGGUCUGAGAGGACGAUCAGCCACACUGGGACUGAGACACGGCCCAGACUCCGACGGGAGGCAGCAGUGGGGAAUUUUGGAAAAUGGGGGAAACCCUGAUCCAGCAAUGCAGCGUGAGUGAAGAAGGCCUUCGGGUUGUAAAGCUCUUUUGUCAGGGAAGAAACACCGGCUCUAACACAGUCCGGGAAUGACGGUACCUGAAGAAUAAGCACCGGCUAACUACGUGCCAGCAGCCGCCGCCG